rnacentral:rRNA from 1 species
CGCCUACGGGGGGCAGCAGUGAGGAAUAUUGGUCAAUGGGCUUACGCCUGAACCAGCCAAGUUGCGUGAGGGAAGACUGCCCUAUGGGUUGUAAACCUCUUUUGUCAGGGAGCAACGCCGGCUACGUGUAGCCGGACUGAGAGUACCUGAAGAAAAAGCAUCGGCUAACUCCGUGCCAGCAGCCGCGGUAAUACGGAGGAUCCGAGCGUUAUCCGGAUUUAUUGGGUUUAAAGGGUGCGUAGGCGGCCUUUUAAGUCAGCGGUGAAAGUCUGUGGCUCAACCAUAGAAUUGCCGUUGAAACUGGG